AGUAACGCGUGGAUAACCUGCCUCACACUGGGGGAUAACAGUUAGAAAUGACUGCUAAUACCGCAUAAGCGCACAGUACCGCAUGGUACAGUGUGAAAAACUCCGGUGGUGUGAGAUGGAUCCGCGUCUGAUUAGCCAGUUGGCGGGGUAACGGCCCACCAAAGCGACGAUCAGUAGCCGACCUGAGAGGGUGACCAGCCACAUUGGGACUGAGACACGGCCCAA
rnacentral:rRNA from 1 species